GGAAGUUGGGACCCUUUUAGCUAUGAAAUAUUUUGGAUUGCGUAGGGUCUUGCGCAGCCGCGAAAAGUAGCGUGGGCCAGGACAGCGGGAGCAGGUCUUGCCCUUGGCCUGGUGUGGUGGUUCAUGGCUGCAAUCCCAGCACAUUGCGGGGCGGAGGCGGGAGGAUUGCUUGAGCCCAGGAGUUCAAGACCAGCCUGGACAACAAAGUAAGAAUCAGUCUCUAAAUUAAAAAAUAAAAGUAAUUUUUUUUUGUUUUUUUGUUUUGAGACAGAGUCUUGCACUAUCACCCAGGCUGGAGUGCAGUGGCACCGAUCUCGGCUUACUGCAACGUCCGGCUCCCGGGUUCAGACGAUUCUCCUGCCUCAGCUUCCCGAGUAGCUGGGAUUACGGGUGCCUGCCACCAUGCCCAGCUAAUUUUUGUAUUUUUAGUAGAGAUAGGGUUUCACCAUGUUGGCCAGGCUGGUCUCGAACUCCUGACCUCAUGAUCUGCCCACCUCAGCCUCCCAAAGUGCCGGGAUUACAGGCAUGAGCCACUGUGCCUGGCCAUAAAAAUAAAUUUUUAAAAAUAGAAGCAGGUCUUCCCUGACUACCCUGUCUCACUUUUAGUACUGUCAUUUGACACUAUUUUAAUUCUCUCCAAUUGCAUAAGUUUUAUUUUUGUCUGUUGAUUUUCUAUUUUUCUCAUCAGCGUUAUUACUGGAGAACAGCAGAGUCCACCCAUCUUGUUUACUCUUACAUGCUCAGCAGAGAGGCAAUGCCAGAAUUACUAACAGUGCUAAAGUUACUAAGAUAAGUAAGGUGCUGGAUAUAAGAGGAAUAUAUGAAAAUUAUUUUUUUCUGCACUAACAACUACUAGUUAGAUACAGAAAUGAAAAAGUAGGCCAGGUGCAGUGGCUCAUGCCUGUAAUCUCAGUACUUUGGGAGGCCGAGGCGGGCAGAUCACGAGGUCAGGAGAUCAAGACCAUCCUGGCUAACACGGUGAAACCCCAUCUCUACUAAAAAUACAAAAAAUUAGCCGGGCGUGGUGGCGAGCGCCUGUAGUCCCAGCUACUCAGGAGGCUGAGGCAGGAGAAUGGCGGGAAUCCGGCAGGCAGAGCUUGCAGUGAGCCGAGAUUGCGCCACUGCACUCCAGCCUGGGCAACAGAGCGAGACUCUGUCUCAAAAAACCAAAAAAAAAAAGAAAAGUAAUCCCUAAAAUGAAAAGAUACCUAGGUACAAAAUUUAAAUGGUAACAUAAAAAUAAAAGAUAAUUUGAAGUAAAUUAAAUCUGAAUAAAUGGUGGAUAACCUA